AUUGAACGCUGGCGGCAUGCCUUACACAUGCAAGUCGAACGGUAACAGCACUUCGGUGGCUGACGAGUGGCGAACGGGUGAGUAAUACAUCGGAACGUGCCCGAGAGUGGGGGAUAACGCAGCGAAAGCUGUGCUAAUACCGCAUACGAUCUACGGAUGAAAGCAGGGGACCGCAAGGCCUUGCGCUCAUGGAGCGGCCGAUGGCAGAUUAGGUAGUUGGUGGGAUAAAAGCUUACCAAGCCGACGAUCUGUAGCUGGUCUGAGAGGACGACCAGCCACACUGGGACUGAGACACGGCCCAGACUCCUACGGGAGGCAGCAGUGGGGAAUUUUGGACAAUGGGCGAAAGCCUGAUCCAGCCAUGCCGCGUGCAGGAUGAAGGCCUUCGGGUUGUAAACUGCUUUUGUACGGAACGAAAGGUACUUUCUAAUAAAGAAGGACUGAUGACGGUACCGUAAGAAUAAGCACCGGCUAACUACGUGCCAGCAGCCG
rnacentral:rRNA from 1 species